rnacentral:rRNA from 1 species
UGAGUACGAGAUGCUACGGCAUCGAAGCAGUCUAUGUCAUACUUCCAAGAAAAGCUUGCACUGUCAUAAACAAAGAAUGCCUGUACCAUAACCGACACAGGUGGGUAGGUAGAGUAUACUAAGGGGCGCGAGAUAACUCUCUCUAAGGAACUCGGCAAAAUGACUCCGUAACUUCGGGAGAAGGAGUGCCUUAUUUCUAAGGUUGCAAUAACAAGAUCCAAGCAACUGUUUACCAAAAACACAGGUCUCCGCUAAGUCGUAAGACGAUGUAUGGGGGCUGACGCCUGCCCAGUGCCAGAAGGUUAAAGAAGUUGGUUAGCAUUAGCGAAGCUGAUAACUGAAGCCCUGGUGAACGGCGGCCGUAACAAUAACGGUCCUAAGGUAGCGAAAUUCCUUGUCGGGUAAGUUCCGACCCGCACGAAAGGCGUAAUGAUUUGGAUACUGUCUCGGAGAGGGGCUCGGUGAAAUAGACUUGUCUGUGAAGAUGCGGACUACCUGCACCUGGACAGAAAGACCCUAUGAAGCUUUACUGUAACUUAGAUUGAAAUUGGACUUUAUUUGCGCAGUAUAGGUGGGAGGCGUUGAGAAUAAUCUUGCGGGAUUGUUGGAGCCAUCAGUGAGAUACCACUCUUGUAAUGUUAGAUUUCUAACUUUGUAUCAUUAUCUGGUCAAAGAACAGUUUCAGGCGGGCAGUUUGACUGGGGCGGUCGCCUCCCAAAGGGUAACGGAGGCGCACAAAGGUUUCCUCUGAACGGGCAGAAAUCGUAUCUAGAGUGUAAAGGCAUAAGGAAGCUUGACUGUGAGACCUACAAGUCGAGCAGGGACGAAAGUCGGUCUUAGUGAUCUGACGGUGCUGAGUGGAAAGGCCGUCACUCAACGGAUAAAAGUUACUCUAGGAUAACAGGCUGAUCUCCCCCAAGAGUUCACAUCGACGGGGAGGUUUGGCACCUCGAUGUCGGCUCAUCGCAUCCUGGGGCGGUAGUCCGUCCCAAGGGUUGGGCUGUUCGCCCAUGAAGGCGGUACGCGAGCUGGGUUCAGAACGUCGUGAGACAGUUCGGUCCAUAUCCGGUGUAGGCGUUAGAAUAUUGAGAGGAGCCUUCUCUAGUACGAGAGGACCGAGAAGGACAUACCUCUGGUGUACCAGUUAUCGUGCCAACGGUAAACGCUGGGUAGCUAUGCAUGGAGUGGAUAACCGCUGAAAGCAUCUAAGUGGGAAGCCCACCUCAAGAUAAGUAUUCUCAC